rnacentral:rRNA from 1 species
GGCUACACACGUGCUACAAUGGCGAUGACAGAGGGACGCAAGCCGGCGACGGUGAGCCAAUCUCUAAAAGUCGUCUCAGUUCGGAUUGUUCUCUGCAACUCGAGAGCAUGAAGUCGGAAUCGCUAGUAAUCGCGUAUCAGCAAUGACGCGGUGAAUACGUUCCCGGACCUUGUACACACCGCCCGUCAAGCCAUGGGAGUUGGGUAUACCUGAAGAUGGUUGCCG